rnacentral:tRNA from 1 species
GGAGUUGUAGCUCAGCGGUAGAGCACUUGCUUGCAUAGCAUGUGUGAGGCACUGGGAUGGAUUCUCAGCACCACCU